GUGCUGGAUUUUUUGUACUAAAUUUUUUGUGCUAUAUGUUUUUACUACAUUUUUUGUACUAGAUUUUUUUGUGCUAGAUUUUUUUGUACUAGAUUUUUUUGUUGUAUUUUUAAAAAACAAAAGGGGAGCCACAUAUCAUUUUCACUCCUAUUUAUAAGGACAAAAAUGCCCUUCAUUCAUACUUAUUAGGAGUGUCACAUGUUAUCAUCACAAUCCUUUUUAGGCUACUUAGGUAAAAAUCCACUUUUUAGUGGAUCCUUCCUCUAUAUACCAUCUUUCGAUCAGUUGUGAAUCGAAAUAAAUGCAACCACCAAUGUCUUUGUUACGAAAAUUGAAAGGUAAUGGAAUUAAAAUCAUAGCACCAUUUCCAUUCUAAGGGUAAAAUUGUCAUUGUAUAAUUUAAUUUUAAUAAAUUAAAUUAAAAUGGGUAAAUUUGUAAUUUUAUUAGUUAAUAUAGGGGAAAUAUGCAAUUUUAUUUUAAGCUUGGGUAAAUACGCAAUUUAAAAGUUUUUUAAGGAGAAAUAUGCAAAAACCUCUAAAAAAAUAUAAGAGUUCAAAUCCUGACAUGAGAUAUAGUAAUUAGUACUUAUUAGUGUAGUUUAGGAAUAGGAAAGGAAUAAUGAAACUUUUAAAAUAAACUAAAAGAUGUUAAAACAUUAUAUGAACUAGGUGAUGCUCCGCCCGCGUUGCGGGGCGAUAACCGAAUAAUUCUCACCCAAUUAAAAAAACAGUACUAUAGUUUUGCUAGAAAUAAAAAGUAAAAAGAGUGUUAAGCAGCUUUUUGACACAAUUUUUAGUUGGGGGAAAAGUCAUUUUUUUUUAUUUGAGGGAAAAAUCAAUUUUUUUCCCGAGGGUAAAAUCCUAAUUUUUUGCUAGGGAAAACCAUAUUUUUAUUUUGCAUUGGGGGCAAAAACGUAAAUUUGAAUUGAGGGUGAUAUCGUAAUUUUGAACCGAGGGGAAAUUCGUAAAUUUUAGCUGGGGGCAAAAGCAUAAAUUUAUUUUGAACUGUGGGCAAAUAUGUAAUUUUAAACUGUGGGCAAAACCAUAAUUUUAAAGUGGGUAAAAAAUAAUAAACUGGUGUAAAUUCAUAAUUUUGAGCCGAGGGGAAAACAAAAGUUUAUUUUGAACUAGGGUGAAAACGUAAUUUUGGCUGAGGGUAAAAGCGUAAUUUUUUUUUACCAAGGGAAAAAUCGUAUUUUAUAGCUCGGGGCAAAAGGGUAAACGUAUUUUGAAGUUGAGGAAAAACCGUAUUUUUUAAUUGGAGGCAAAAACGUAAUUUUAAAGUGGAUAUAAAAUAAUAAACUGGUUGGUCCAAUGGGUAUUGCUCGCCGUCGAUUUGAACCAAUGGCAGAGAAACACUAUUGCAGGGCAAAAGCGUAAUUUAAAGUGUGUAUAAAAUAAUAAACUGGUUGGUCCAAUGGGGAGGGGUGGCCGCCAAUUUGAAGCAAUGGCAGGGUGAUACUAUUCCCUGCCAUGAACCAAUGGCAGAGAAACACUAUUGCAGGGCGAAAACGUAAUUUUAAAGUGUGUAUAAAAUAAUAAAUUGGUUGGUACAAUGGGGGAGGGGCGGCCGCCCAUUUGAAGCAAUGGCAGGGUGAUACUAUUCCCUGCCAUGUGGUUUGUAUAUGUUGAAAAUAUAUGUAUAUGUAUCACAUUACUGUUACCGAGGGCGAAAUCGUAUUUUUUAGCUCGGGGCAAAAGGGUAAACGUAUUUUGAAGUUGAGACAAAACCGUAUUUUUUAAUUGGGGGCAAAAACGUAAUUUUAAAGUGGAUAUAAAAUAAUAAACUGGUUGGUCUAAUGGGUAUUGCUCGCCGCCGAUUUGAACCAAUGGCAGAGAAAUAUUAUUGCAGGGCGAAAGCGUAAUUUUAAAGUGUGUAUAAAAUAAUAAACUGGUUGGUCCAAUGGGGGAGGGGCGACCGCCCAUUUGAAGCAAUGGAAGUGUGAUACUAUUCCAUGCCAUGAAGGCAUGAACCAAUGGCAGAGAAACACUAUUGCAGGGCGAAAGCGUAACUUUAAAGUGUGUAUAAAAUAAUAAACUGGUUGGUCCAAUGGGGGAGGGGUGGCCGUCCAUUUGAGGCAAUGGCAGAGUGAUACUAUUCCCUACCAUGUGGUUUGUAUAUGUUGAAAAUAUAUGUAUAUGUAGAUUGAGGAUCCUCUACAUUAAUCCAGAAGUGAUCACUACCCUACAUAACAUUAGUGUUCAUUGACUUUAUUUUUAAUAUAUGUAUAAUAUAGUAUAUAUUAAUAUGAUAUGUUUAUUCAUAACUUAACAUUCUCUAUUAUCCAUAAGUUAACAUUCUUUUGAUAUCAUAUAGUGGAUCUUAAUUGUAGCUAAUUAUUAUUGGCGUGUGAAAUAAUUUGUCUAUGAGUCAAAUAUAUGACGGUAAUCCAUAAUAGAUGCAACUAUUAAAUAUUGCGAACACGUAUAUAUCUAUCUGUAUGCAUUAGGGUCUCAAUCUUCAUCCAUUUCCCCCUUUGCACCUAUACCAUAUGCAAGGUAUUAAUUUUGUAAACCAAAAGGAUUGUUUUGUGUUUG
rnacentral:lncRNA from 1 species